AACAGAGGUCGAGAUUAUGCUUCGUGCUCUUUAUGAUGACUGCAUGAAACAUCAUAUUGGGGUGUUAAUUGAAAAAUCUCUCAUAAAGGUCAGUCAGAGAGGAACAGUUGAAUUGCACGACUUGAUUAAGGACAUGGGUAGAGAAAUUGACCAGAAAGAAUCACCUAAAGAAGCAGGAAGGCGCAGGAGAUUAUGGUUACCAAAAGAUAUAAUUCAUGUUCUAAAACACAACACGGGAACUAGUGAAAUUUGAAAUGGUGUGUCUUCAUUUCUCCACAACUGACAAAAGAGAAAGGGUGGAAUGGAAUGGAAGCUAACCGUCUUGAAUUUGGACAACUGCAAACCUUUAACUCGGAUACCUAACGUAUCUGAACUCCGAAACUUGGAGAAACUUUCAUUUAAAGAGUGUGAGAGUUUAAUUGAAGUGCACUACUCAGUUGGUUUUCUGAAGGAUGCGAGAAGCUUGCCAGAUUUCCACCUCUCAAGCUGCCCUCUCUUGAAAUUCUUGAACUUUCUUUUUGUUUCAGUCUUAAGAAUUUUCCAGAAAUGUUAGGAAAGAUGGGACGCAUAAGGAAACUUAGUUUGCUUAAACUUCCUAUAAAAGAAUUGCCAGUUUCAUUUCAAAAUCUUACUGGACUCCAUGAGUUACACGUGGACUGUGAUUUUGUUCAGUUAAAUAGCAGUGUCUUGACGCCUGAACUGUCUGAGCUUAUCGUUUACAAUUGCAAGGAGUGGAAAUGUGUAAAAUCUAGAGAGGGUAAAGAAAAAAUGGGCUCAAAGGUGUCUUCAAAUGUAGAAUAGUUUUGGGCUUAUUCUUACAACCUGAAUGAUGAUUUUUUUUUCAGAAGGUUUCACGCAGUUGGCUCAAGUGAGACAAUUAUGGCUAGAGAAAAGUAGUUUCACAUUCCUUCUUGAAUGCCUGGGAGAAUUUCACAACAUGUAUUCUCUUGACGUGAGUGAUUGCAAACUUCUUAGGGAAAUCAGAGGGGUUCCACCAAAUUUAAAGCAUUUCAGGGCAAUUAACUGUGUAUCGUUGGGUUCCUCGGGUUCAAGCAUGCUGUCAAAUCAGCAACUUCACGAGGCUGGAGGGACAGUGUAUAUCUUUCCAGGAGGAAGUAUUCCAGAGUGGUUGGAUAAACAAAGCAAGGGACCUUCAAUGUUUGUUUGAUACCUCCGUCAUUAAAGCAACGGGAAUUCAUGUAGUAAAAGACGAAAGCAGGAGCGUGGAGGACAUUCGAUAUGAUGAUCCUUGUACCAACAAUAAAGAAGACAGUCAUCUCAACACUUUCCAAUCACAAAACUACUCCUUAACGAGCAUAGGUUUAAUGAUAGGUUCUUUCAUAUUGUUUUCUUGCUUCUUCCUUUUUGUUGUAUUUACAAGCCUGGGGAGUUAGUAUCACCCAUCAAUUUUCCUUUGCAUUGUCGUCAAAGAAUCGGAUUUGUUUCUCCAAACAUCUUAUUCAUCAAGGAACUUUUGGAUGUUGGAUCUGAUGAUGUUGUCCACAUGAUAGGGAUCCAUGGAAUGGGUGGGUUAGGAAAAACAACACUUUCUCUAGCAGUGUAUAAUUUGAUCGCUGAUGAUUUUGAUAGUUCAUGUUUUCUUCAAGAUGUAAGAGAAAAAUCAAAUAAACAUGGGUUAAAACAACUCCAGAACAGCCUUCUUUAACAAAUACUCGGAGAGAAGGACAUCAACUUAGUAAGUGUGCAAAGAGGAAUCUCAGUGAUACAACAAAGGCUUCGUAGAAAGAAAGUUCUCAUGAUUCUAGAUGGGUAACGCAUAUGUGAAAAAUAUAUAUUUUUGUCUUGUUCUUAAUGAACUUGAUUUGAUAAUAUAUUGUUGAUUUACUGAAUUGUUGAUGAAUUGUGACUAGCAGCAACUUCACGAGACUGGAGAGACCGAUUUUAUCUUUCCAGGAGGAAGUAUCCCAAGCUGGUUUGAUAAACAAAGUCGGGGACCUUCAAUUUCUUUCUGGUUUCGUAAUAAAUUUCCCGCCAAAGUUCUUUGUCUUCUUAUUGCACCUGUAAUGUGCUCUUCCAUGUUUGUUGGACCCAUGGUGUUCAUAUGGAAAAGUUACAAAAUGUCUUUCUAAUCCUAUGAAAACAAAAGUGGAGAUGUUGGAAUCGGAUUACACACAUCUCUUUGAUCUGCGGAGGUUUCUUUCCCAUGGUGCUCUGAUGGAAGUGGGUUUAGAAAAUGAAUGGAAGCAUCUGGAGGUUACCUUGAGGGUGUGUUUGAGACCUCAGUGAUUAAAGCCAUGGGAGUCCAUGUAGUGAAAGAUAAAAACAUCAACAUGGAUGAUAUUCUAUAUGAUGAUCCUUACACCAACAUAAAAGUAGAGAAUCAAGAAUGAUAGAAAGUUCAUCUAAACAAAAAGAAGAAACAUGGUUUGUAGAGAACACAUUAAUGGCAAUCUUGGAUUUUUCUUCACAAGUGCUGGUGUAUUAUCUCUCCACUCUUAAGGCCCUCAACAAUAAUGCUUUCUGAUGCCAAUUGUUAGUAACUUAUUUUAGUAACAUAUUACAAAGCUUAGCAAGAGUGGAAGACUUUUACUUUUUAACAUGCAGUGUACCAUGUUUAGGAGAGUUUUGUUUCUCCUUUCAGCAGUACCAUUAUGUUAUGGCAUGUAUAAGGGUGUUACCUCAUGUAUUAAUAUCCCUUUAUCUGCACAGAGACUUUGAAAAUCUAUACUGAUGUGUAUUCUCCUUCUCCAUCAGUUCUCAACACUUGAACAUUGUGUCCACUUUGUUUCUUAGCAAGCCGUUUAAACCUUUUAAGCACAUCCAAAGAGUCACACUUUCUUUUUAGCAUAUAAGUCCUCAUUUUCCUAGUCACAUCAUCAAUGAAUGUGAUGAAAUAUCUAUUUCCAGCAGCGGUAUCAACCUAUAUUAGCCCAUAAAUUUUGUGACACAUGUUACACUAUAAUCCUUUCGCCUUUCCAAGCCUCAACGUACCCAACCGGAAUUUGUUCUCUUUAAAUCUAAAUCAUAAAGUAUUUCCCUAUACAGAUGAAAGAAAGGGAUAACCAGAACCUCACACUUCAAUCCUCCAUCUCUUUCAAAAUAACAAUUGAAUAAGUAAAUACCAAUUAGGCUCUUAUAAAUACACUUAAACUCCAUAAGAACCUGUUAAACAGACGAAUUUGGACUUUUUUACUGAAUUUCAGGUACUGCAGAAAACAAAGGAAAUAACAUAAAGAAGAAUAGGUAAUCCGGCACAGAAUAACAGAAGCACACAACACUCCUUUAUGCUCUAGCUAACUCUCCCCUGAUUGAAAAAAUUAAGGCCUUCGAUGAUAUAUUUCUAAAAAGCCCUAUCCCACUUAGAAGGUAGAUUCCUAUCAAUACCACAUAACUUCCGAGUUACUUAUCCUCAUUGUUCUAGUUGUACCACUCUUUGCUGGAUCACAUAUAAGAUCCUUUAUGUUAAACUUUCAAAACUAGGUUCAAUUAACCAAAUCUGCUAUUCAUGUUGAUAGAACAAAAUAUUAAGAAAUAUCACAUGCUUUUUCA